UGCAACUCGUAUCGCCUCCCUCGCGCC
rnacentral:ribozyme from 1 species